GACGAACGCUGGCGGCGUGCUUAAUACAUGCAAGUCGAACGGGAUGAUUUAGAAGCUUGCUUUUAGAGAAUCUAGUGGCAAACGGGUGAGUAACACGUAGGCAACCUGCCGACAGGAUGGGGACAACAUUCCGAAAGGAAUGCUAAUACCGAAUGAAGCGCAGGAGAGGCAUCUCUCCUGCGUGAAAGAUGGCCUCUAUUUAUAAGCUAUCACCUGUCGAUGGGCCUGCGUCUGAUUAGCUGGUUGGUGAGGUAACGGCUCACCAAGGCGACGAUCAGUAGCCGGUCUGAGAGGAUGAACGGCCACAUUGGGACUGAGACACGGCCCAGACUCCUACGGGAGGCAGCAGUGGGGAAUCUUCCGCAAUGGGCGCAAGCCUGACGGAGCAACGCCGCGUGAGUGAAGAAGGUCUUCGGAUCGUAAAGCUCUGUUGAUGGGGACGAACGUGCGAAGGGUGAAUAAACCUUUGUAAUGACGGUACCUGUCGAGGAAGCCACGGCUAACUACGUG
rnacentral:rRNA from 1 species